CCUUAGCGCCUACCUCAGAUGCAACUGUAAAGCGAUUCAACCGGUAGGGAUCUACUCUCGUUUCUCUUCGAUUGAGUAGAAUCUCCACCCUUCUGCGUUGUUCUGGCUGUCGGUUUAGUUGAGGUUCGACGAUGUAAGAGUCUCGAGUGGCGUCUCCUUGCCUAAAAAUCUACGAAUAGCCCAGAGUUUUUCUGCUAAAUUGGUGUUGAAUCUCAUAGUUUGAUUACUCCUACUGUUCUUCUUUGUUUAAAUUGCUUCUCGGAUGUUUGAUUUGUUAUUUACCUUCUUGGUCUCUUCUCCGUUACUCAGACCUAUGGUGUGCGUCAUAUCUCCUUAGUGCUAGUUUUAGAAGAUUUUUAAUAGAACUUAUGAUUUUUGUGAUAAA